rnacentral:rRNA from 1 species
AUGCGGCGCGGCGAUGGCGAAGACGACGCCAGGCACCACCGCCGGAUUCCCCGCGCCGACGAGAUCGAUGCUGCCAGGUUCCCCAUGACAAUCUGUUACAGCGACGACGACGAGGAGAUCGAUCUGAAGUCGCCGUCGGAGAUCGUAGCCCUCCACGCCGCGUGCCGCGACCGCAUCACCGAGUACGACCCCAAGAAGAGAGCCCGCGUCCUCACCCGCUUCUGCGGCGUCAACCUCGCCGGCUUCGACCUCGACAGAGAGUCCAAGGUUGGCCUCGGGCCACUGCUUGAGGAUGUAACGCCGCAGCUGUGGAAGUUCCGGGCGGAGACGUCGUACAAUGUCGUUUCCGUCAAGAUAAUCGAAUCCGAUCUGGGUUACCCGAUCAGUGUGUUCGGUACCGUUCUCGCGAGAGAUACCAUCGACUACAGAUGCGUCUAUUUGUUCAGACGCGAGCGAGACGAUCCUCAGAUCAUCAGCUCCAAGGAGGAUAUGUUAGCAUUGGUAGGUCCACGUCGAGGAUUAGUAGCAUUUGAUCAUAUACAUUUUGAGUUCAACCUGAAGGUGAAGGGUGAUCCUGAGGAUGAAGACUUUAGCAAAGGCGUAAUUGAGUCCCGUGCCUUUGACUCUGGACCCAUCACUACGAUGCUACCUAGUUGGCUCAGUACAGUGGAAUUAGUAUUUGCACCUGUUAAACAUCCGGUGGCGGCUAGCCUCCAAAUCAACAUUCUGAAUGGUCCGCCCUAUGCCCCUUUUGUUGGCAAAGUAUCUGCUGGGACUAGAAAUGCCGAGACCCAUAUUAUUCUAUAUGAUGGUAGAGCAAUGAAUUGCAGCGGAAUAUUAGUCGGAGAUGAUGGCUCCGUUCCCUUGAGUCGUAAUUUGGUAGUUAACCCUUACCUACAUGCGACGAUGAUGAAGAGUUUUUGGUCCAUGUUUGUAUUUUUGAUAAUGAUGAGGAUGAAGUCACUCAUGUUACUCUACAACACCCUGAUGAAGAGCAUGUUUGCACUCACGGUUCCUAUGAACUACAAGUGA